GAGACACGGACCAGACUCCUACGGGAGGCAGCAGUGAGGAAUAUUGGACAAUGGGCGCAAGCCUGAUCCAGCCAUGCCGCGUGCAGGAUGACGGUCCUAUGGAUUGUAAACUGCUUUUAUACAGGAAGAAACACUCGGACGUGUCCGAGCUUGACGGUACUGUAGGAAUAAGGAUCGGCUAACUCCGUGCCAGCAGCCGCGGUAAUACGGAGGAUCCAAGCGUUAUCCGGAAUCAUUGGGUUUAAAGGGUCCGUAGGCGGUCAGAUAAGUCAGUGGUGAAAGCCCAUCGCUCAACGGUGGAACGGCCAUUGAUACUGUCUGACUUGAAUUAUUAGGAAG
rnacentral:rRNA from 1 species